AUGAACGCUGGCGGCGUGCCUUAAGCAUGCAAGUCGAACGGAAAUUUGUCGCAAGACGGAAAUUAGUGGCGGACGGGUGAGUACAAGCAAGGAACGUACCCAAAACUAUCGGAUAGCUCACCGAAAGGUGGGGUAAUACGGUAUGUGGACGCAAGUCUAAAGGGGUUAACCCCCCGGUUUUGGAGCGGCCUUGUUCCUAUCAGCUAGUUGGUGGGGUAAUGGCCUACCAAGGCGAUGACGGGUAGGGGGCGUGAGAGCGCGACCCCCCACAAUGGCACUGAGACACGGGCCAUACGUCUACGGACGGCAGCAACUGGGAAUCGUUGGCAAUGGGCGAAAGCCUGACCACGCGACGCCGCGUGAAGGAUGAAGGCCCUCGGGUCGUAAACUUCUUUUAUCCCGAUGUCACGUCGGGACGAAUAAGCAUCUACAAACUACGU
rnacentral:rRNA from 1 species